rnacentral:rRNA from 1 species
AUUGAACGCUGGCGGCAUGCUUUACACAUGCAAGUCGAACGGUAACAGGCCGCAAGGUGCUGACGAGUGGCGAACGGGUGAGUAAUGCAUCGGAACGUGCCCAGUCGUGGGGGAUAACUAUCCGAAAGGAUAGCUAAUACCGCAUACGAUCUGCGGAUGAAAGCGGGGGACCUUCGGGCCUCGCGCGAUUGGAGCGGCCGAUGUCAGAUUAGGUAGUUGGUGGGGUAAAGGCUCACCAAGCCAACGAUCUGUAGCUGGUCUGAGAGGACGACCAGCCACCCUGGGACUGAGACACGGCCAAGACUCCUACGGGAGGCAGCAGUGGGGAAUUUUGGACAAGGGGCGCAAGCCUGAUCCAGCAAUGCCGCGUGCAGGAAGAAGGCCUUCGGGUUGUAAACUGCUUUUGUACGGAACGAAACGGCUCUGGUUAAUACCUGGGGCUAAUGACGGUACCGUAAGAAUAAGCACCGGCUAACUACGUGCCAGCCGCCGCGGUAA